rnacentral:rRNA from 1 species
GGGGAAUAUUGGACAAUGGGCGAAAGCCUGAUCCAGCCAUGCCGCGUGAGUGAUGAAGGCCUUAGGGUUGUAAAGCUCUUUUAGCAGGGAAGAUAAUGACGGUACCUGCAGAAAAAGCCCCGGCUAACUUCGUGCCAGCAGCCGCGGUAAUACGAAGGGGGCUAGCGUUGCUCGGAAUUACUGGGCGUAAAGCGCACGUAGGCGGACUCUUAAGUCGGUGGUGAAGUCCUGGAGCUCGACUCCAGAACUGCCUUCGAUACUGGGAGCCUUGAGUUCGGGAGAUGUGAGUGGAACUUCGAGUGUAGAGGUGAAAUUCGUAGAUAUUCGCAAGAACACCAGUGGCGAAGGCGGCUCACUGGCCCGAUACUGGCGCUGAGGUGCGAAAGCGUGGGGAGCAAACA